rnacentral:rRNA from 1 species
UGCAAGUCGAACGCGAAAACCCCGCAAGGGGUUAGUCUGAGUGGCAAACGGGUGAGUAACGCGUGGGUGACCUGCCCUCGAGUGGGGGAUAACGUUCCGAAAGGGACGCUAAUACCGCAUGACAUCCUGCCUUUCAAGAGGUGGAGAUCAACUCUGGGGAUCGCAAGACCUAGCACUCGAAGAGGGGCCCGCGUCCGAUUAGCUAGUUGGUGAGGUAACGGCUCACCAAGGCAACGAUCGGUAGCCGGCCUGAGAGGGCGGACGGCCACACUGGGACUGAGACACGGCCCAGACUCCUACGGGAGGCAGCAGUGGGGAAUUGUUCGCAAUGGGCGCAAGCCUGACGAC